GACGAACGCUGGCGGCGUGCCUAAUACAUGCAAGUCGAACGCUUCUUUCCCACCGGAGCUUGCUCCACCGGGAAAGAAGAGUGGCGAACGGGUGAGUAACACGUGGGCAACCUGCCCUUCAGUGGGGGAUAACACUUGGAAACAGGUGCUAAUACCGCAUAAUAGUUUUUUUCACAUGAAAGAAACUUGAAAGACGCUUUCGGGUGUCACUGAAGGAUGGGCCCGCGGUGCAUUAGCUAGUUGGCGGGGUAACGGCCCACCAAGGCGACGAUGCAUAGCCGACCUGAGAGGGUGAUCGGCCACAUUGGGACUGAGACACGGCCCAAACUCCUACGGGAGGCAGCAGUAGGGAAUCUUCCACAAUGGACGCAAGUCUGACCGAGCAACGCCGCGUGAGUGAAGAAGGGUUUCGGAUCGUAAAACUCUGAUGUUAAAGAAGAACGUAUCUAAGAGCAACUGCUUAGGUAGUGACGGUAUUUAACCAGAAAGCCACGGCUAACUACGUGCCAGCAGCCGCCGUAAAAC
rnacentral:rRNA from 1 species